GGCGAACGGGUGCGUAACACGUGGACAACCUACCUUCUCGACCGGGAUAACUCGCCGAAAGGCGAACUAAUACCGGAUAAGCCCCCGGGGUCUAUGGACUCUGAGGGAAAAUGGCGGCACUGUAAACAGCUGUCACGAGAAGAUGGGUCCGCGGCCCAUCAGCUAGUUGGCGGGGUAACGGCCCACCGAAGGCGACGACGGGUAGCUGGGUCUUGAGGAGGAUGAUCAGCCACGACUGGAACUCGAGACACGGGCCCAAAACCCCAUACGGGAGGCAGAGUGGGAAUCUGCGCAAUGGGCGAAAGCCUGACGCAGCAACGCCGCGUGUGUGAUGAAGGUCUUCGGAUCGGUAAAAGCACUGUCGCGAGGGAAGACGACGGGUUUCGCUAAUACCGGGACCAGUGAGACCGGUACCUCGAGAGGAAGCACCGGGCUUAACUCUUGUGCCAGCAGCCGCGG
rnacentral:rRNA from 1 species